rnacentral:rRNA from 1 species
GACGAACGCUGGCGGCGUGCUUAACACAUGCAAGUCGAACGAAGAGCGAUGGAAGCUUGCUUCUAUCACUCUUAGUGGCGAACGGGUGAGUAACGCGUAAUCAACCUGCCCUUCAGAGGGGGACAACAGUUGGAAACGACUGCUAAUGCCGCAUACGAUCUGACCUCGGCAUCGAGGAUAGAUGAAAGGUGGCCUCUAUUUAUAAGCUAUCACUGAAGGAGGGGAUUGCGUCUGAUUAGCUAGUUGGAGGGGUAACGGCCCACCAAGGCGAUGAUCAGUAGCCGGUCUGAGAGGAUGAACGGCCACAUUGGGACUGAGACACGGCCCAGACUCCUACGGGAGGCAGCAGUGGGGAAUCUUCCGCAAGAGACGAAAGUCUGACGGAGCAACGCCGCGUGAGUGAUGACGGCCUUCGGGUUGUAAAGCUCUGUUAAUCGGGACGAAAGGCCUUCUUGCGAAUAGUUAGAAGGAUUGACGGUACCGGAAUAGAAAGCCACGGCUAACUACGUG